rnacentral:rRNA from 1 species
AGUGAACGCUGGCGGUAGGCCUAACACAUGCAAGUCGAACGGCAGCACAGUAAGAGCUUGCUCUUACGGGUGGCGAGUGGCGGACGGGUGAGGAAUACAUCGGCAUCUACUUUUUCGUGGGGGAUAACGUAGGGAAACUUACGCUAAUACCGCAUACGACCUACGGGUGAAAGCAGGGGAGCUUCGGACCUUGCGCGAUUGAAUGAGCCGAUGUCGGAUUAGCUAGUUGGCGGGGUAAAGGCACACCAAGGCGACGAUCCGUAGCUGGUCUGAGAGGAUGAUCAGCCACACUGGAACUGAGACACGGUCCAGACUCCUACGGGAGGCAGCAGUGGGGAAUAUUCGACAAUGGGCGCAAGCCUGACCCAGCCAUACCGCGUGGGUGAAGAAGGCCUUCGGGUUGUAAAGCUCUGUUGUUAGGAAAGAAAAGCAGCAUGUGAAUAUCCCGCUGUUCUGACGGUACCCAAAGAAUAAGCACCGGCUAACUUCGUG